CUAGGCAGGGGGGUGAAACUCCCUCUUCUAUGAUCCAAUCUACAACCAAAUAUGGCCGACAUGAAUUUCCGGUUGAAGUGACAGUCAAAACCAAAUUAACCUAAUUCUUUUGAUUGACAACCUGUUGACGUUUCAAAAAUCAUGUUUUUAAUAUUCACAUUUCAUUAUUUAACUGAAAAAUUACUUCCCUACUACAUAACGAGGCGGAUUAUUUAGGAGAUUCUAGUGCAGAUUCAAGGAGAUGUAACUUACGAACGACCGAAUGUUGAAUAUUAUUUUCAUCUAUUCUGAUACUCGAAAUUAGAUAUGUUUUCAAUUUCGAGAUGUACAAGGGAACAAAAAAUUUAUCACAAUGAAAGAGCCGGCCUGAUAAUUUAAAUAGCUCAUUAUGUGAAUAAAUUCAAUAUAACUAAGCUUUUAUAGGGACAGAUUUUUGCUGAGGUUUUUAUCGUGGUUGUUUUGUAUCAUACAUAUAUGUGGAUGUUACUUGAUUUCCAUUUCCUCUGCUUAUACUGAGAUUUUAUAUGGGAAACAGGUUUUACGAUCAACAAUUCUAUUUGUUGAUCGUUUGAUAUAUUUCAUCCUCAAUAUGUAUUUGCAUUAGGCUGACUGAUAUAUAAAUGUGCUCCUCUGGAAAAUACUGUUUAUAGAAAUUUUAUGAAAAAUAAAUAAAUUGCUGAAAUUCUAA